UACGGAGGGUGCGAGCGUUGUCCGGAAUCACUGGGCGUAAAGGGCGCGUAGGCGGCAUGCCAAGCGUGUGGUGAAAGCCCGGGGCUCAACCCCGGGUCGGCCGUGCGGACUGGCGUGCUCGAGCACUGUAGGGGCGGGUGGAAUUCCGGGUGUAGCGGUGGAAUGCGUAGAGAUCCGGAAGAACACCGGUGGCGAAGGCGGCCUUCUGGACAGUGACUGACGCUGAGACGCGAAAGCGUGGGGAGCAAACAGG
rnacentral:rRNA from 1 species